CGCCCCUUUCCCUCCGGGGCCUUCGCGUACUGCGCGCCUUUGCUACCGUCCGGGCCGGCGCCCGGGUCUUCCCGCGAGCCCGCUGCUGCCCUCUCUCUGGCCGAGGCCUGGGAGGACGCGCGGGAGCCGCUGGCCUGACUUUGAGUCCGACCGGCAAUGACUUUUCCCGGGAGGUGCGUUGCGGGUCAGCAGAGGCUCGCCGGGGCGGAGUGACGAGUGAGCCCCUCCGGAGCGCCCCCCGUGCGGCGGGGCGGGCCGGUCCUGCCCUGCUUUUGUGUUUUUUAACAUUCUCACACCCUGUUGCAGCAGCGAAGGAUAUUGAGGCUAAGGGACUCGGUGUCCGCCUCUGGAAUCCGGGUGCUGGAGAGCUGCUCAUGGAUUUUCCAGACUGAAUGGUUUAAGGGUGUGCGGGGCACGUUGUAUUCCGAUGCUUCUGGACGGCCGACGUUAUCUCCUCUGGAGAGAACCAGCCCGUCUUGGGGCUUCAGAGGCCCAGAUUGAGGCGCAGUGAUGAGAGGAUGUGGUGGUCCGCUCUGAUGUCAAUCUUGAGGGCUAGUGCCCAGAAGUGCAUCCUGGAUGAAUAUUUGUGAAAUGAGCAAGUAAAGGCAAAGGUAUGGAUGAAGUCACUCAGGCAAAAUGUAUAAGCCAGACAGAAGCAUCUCAGCUUUUCUUAUGCACUCUGUUCCUUCCAAGCUUCCUUUACCAAGGUACCUCCACUUCAACCGAAACAUCACUUCCUCAGGAACACCUCUCCUGGCCCCAAGUCUGAGUUAAGUGGACCCUUUACAUGCUUCCAGGGCAGCUUGUAUUUAACCUGUCAUAGCAGAGAUAACUGUCUUGUUCCCCUCACUAAACAUGUAUAAAGGAACCUGAAAAAACACCUUUUAUCCUUUCUAAGUUGAAAUUUAAUAAUAUCCAAGAUUAGUCCAUGUUGGGCUAAUAUUUUGGAAAACUGAACUUCAGGACUUAGCACAUUCUCCAAGCCCUUUUAUUCAUAACUAAUUUAAGAAAUUGACUUUGAAACCCAACAAGGAAAAUUGUAUCAUACUGUCAGGCUCUGUGAUGUGACUGCCAUUGACUAAGUCCAGAAUAUGCCAACAACUCUUCAACUACUAAGCUUCAGUGAUUGGAACCAAAAGUGUAGUGUCUGAGCUUCCCUCCCUCCCUAUGGAAAUGAUUCUCUACCAUUUUUAAUACUUACUAUGGCCAGAGUGCUGAAAGAACUUUAUAAACUUUAUUUCAUCUAAUGUU